UACGGGGGGGCAAGCGUUGUUCGGAAUUACUGGGCGUAAAGGGCUGGUAGGCGGCCAACUAAGUCGGAUGUGAAAUCCCCAGGCUCAACCUGGGAACUGCGUCUGAUACUGGAUGGCUUGAAUCCGGGAGAGGGAUGCAGAAUUCCAGGUGUAGCGGUGAAAUGCGUAGAUAUCUGGAGGAAUACCGGUGGCGAAGGCGGCAUCCUGGACCGGCAUUGACGCUGAGGAGCGAAAGCCAGGGGAGCAAACGGG
rnacentral:rRNA from 1 species